rnacentral:rRNA from 1 species
UGGGGAAUAUUGGACAAUGGGGGCAACCCUGAUCCAGCAAUGCCGCGUGUGUGAAGAAGGUUUUCGGAUUGUAAAGCACUUUCGGCGGGGACGAUGAUGACGGUACCCGCAGAAGAAGCCCCGGCUAACUUCGUGCCAGCAGCCGCGGUAAUACGAAGGGGGCUAGCGUUGCUCGGAAUGACUGGGCGUAAAGGGCGUGUAGGCGGUUUGUACAGUCAGAUGUGAAAUCCCCGGGCUUAACCUGGGAGCUGCAUUUGAUACGUGUAGACUAGAGUGUGAGAGAGGGUUGUGGAAUUCCCAGUGUAGAGGUGAAAUUCGUAGAUAUUGGGAAGAACACCGGUGGCGAAGGCGGCAACCUGGCUCAUAACUGACGCUGAGGCGCGAAAGCGUGGGGAGCAAACAGGAUUAGAUACCCUGGUAGUCCACGCUGUAAACGAUGUGUGCUAGAUGUUGGGUAACUUAGUUAUUCAGUGUCGCAGUUAACGCGUUAAGCACACCGCCUGGGGAGUACGGCCGCAA